CGGUACUUUGAUUUCGGUUGAAGUGCAGUGGCGAACGGCUGAGUAAUACGAAGGUAACCUACCCUUCAGUGGGGAAUAUCUCCGAGAAAUCGGAGCCAAUACCGCAUGUCGUCCUCACGCGCGAGUGUGAUGAUGAAAGCCUUCGGGCGCUGGAGGAUGGGCCUUUGUCCCAUCAGGCAGUUGGUAGGGUAACGGCCUACCAAACCAAAGACGGGUAGCUGGUCUGAGAGGAUGGUCAGCCAGACGGGGACUGAGAUACGGCCCCGACUCCUACGGGAGGCAGCAGCAAGGGAUAUUGCGCAAUGGGCGAAAGCCUGACGCAGCGACGCCGCGUGAGGGAUGAAGGCCUUCGGGUCGUAAACCUCUUUUAUUGGUGAAGAGUAAGGACGGUAACCAAUGAAUAAGCCUCGGCUAACUACGUGCCAGCAGCCGCGGUAAUACGUAGGAGGCGAGCGUUAUCCGGAUUUACUGGGCGUAAAGCGCGUGUAGGCGGCUUUUUAAGUUGGCAGUGAAAGGUUCCGGCUCAACUGGGAUUCGCCUGUCAAUACUGGAGAGCUUGAGGGCACCAGAGGAAAGUGGAACUCGCGGUGUAGCGGUGAAAUGUGUAGAUAUCGCGAGGAACACCAGUGGCGAAGGCGGCUUUCUGGGGUGUUCCUGACGCUGAGGCGCGAAAGCGUGGGGAGCGAAGCGGAUUAGAUACCCGCGUAGUCCACGCCCUAAACGGUGGAUAUUUGGUAUGGGGGGGUAUCGACCCCCUCCGUGCCGAAGCCAACGCUUUAAGUAUCCCGCCUGGGAACUACG
rnacentral:rRNA from 1 species